rnacentral:rRNA from 1 species
UACGAAGGGGGGCUAGCGUUGUUCGGAAUUACUGGGCGUAAAGCGCGCGCAGGCGGUCCUUCAAGUCAGAGGUGAAAGCCCAGAGCUCAACUCUGGAACGGCCUUUGAGACUAGAGGACUUGGGUACGGGAGAGGUGAGUGGAAUUCCGAGUGUAGAGGUGAAAUUCGUAGAUAUUCGCAAGAACACCAGUGGCGAAGGCGGCUCACUGGCCCGGUACUGACGCUGAGGUGCGAAAGCGUGGGGAGCAAACAGG